AAUAUUGGACAAUGGGCGCAAGCCUGAUCCAGCCAUGCCGCGUGAUUGAUGAAGGCCCUAGGGUUAUAAAGCUCUUUCAACGGUAAAGAUAAUGACCCUAACCGUAGAAGAAGCCCCGGCUAACUUCGUGCCAGCAGCCGCGGUAAUACGAAGGGGGCUAGCGUUGUUCGGAAUUACUGGGCGUAAAGCGCACGUAGGCGGAUCGAUCAGUUAGGGGUGAAAGCCCAGGGCUCAACCCUGGAACUGCCUCUAAUACUGUCGAUCUCGAGUUCGAGAGAGGUGAGUGGAAUUCCGAGUGUAGAGGUGAAAUUCGUAGAUAUUCGGAGGAACACCAGUGGCGAAGGCGGCUCACUGGCUCGAUACUGACGCUGAGGUGCGAAAGCGUGGGGAGCAAACA
rnacentral:rRNA from 1 species